rnacentral:rRNA from 1 species
UCAGGCCUAACACAUGCAAGUCGAACGAAGUAGCAAUACUUAGUGGCAGACGGGUGAGUAACAUGUAGGUAUCUGCCCUUUGGCCUGGAAUAACACGAGGAAACUUGUGCUAAUACUGGAUAAGUCUUUACGGAGAAAGCUUUAUGCACCAUUGGAUGAGCCUGCACUUGAUUAGUUUGUUGGUGGGGUAAUGGCCUACCAAGACUGUGAUCAAUAGCUGAUUUGAGAGGAUGAUCAGCCACAUUGGGACUGAGACACGGCCCAAACUCCUACGGGAGGCAGCAGUGGGGAAUCUUGCACAAUGGAGGAAACUCUGAUGCAGCGAUGCCGCGUGAGUGAAGAAGGCCUUUGGGUUGUAAAGCUCUUUCGUCGGGGAAGAAAAUGACUGUACCCGAAUAAGAAGGUCCGGCUAACUUCGUGCCAGCAGCCGCGGUAAUACGAAGGGACCUAGCGUAGUUCGGAAUUACUGGGCUUAAAGAGUUCGUAGGUGGUUGAAAAAGUUGGUGGUGAAAUCCCAGAGCUUAACUCUGGAACUGCCAUCAAAACUUUUCAGCUAGAGUAUGAUAGAGGAAAGCAGAAUUUCUAGUGUAGAGGUGAAAUUCGUAGAUAUUAGAAAGAAUACCAAUUGCGAAGGCAGCUUUCUGGAUCAUUACUGACACUGAGGAACGAAAGCAUGGGUAGCGAAGAGGAUUAGAUACCC